AGUAACCUUAUUUUUCAUUUUUCCGUACCCAACGUUUGACCAUUCAUCUUAUUUAAAAAAUUUAUACAAUUAAAAAAUUAGUCAAGUAUAAAGUACUAUUCAUAUUUUAUCAUCUAGUAACAAUAACAAUAUUAAUCAUAAAAAAUUUUAAAUAAGAUAAAUGGUCAAACGUUAGAUAGAAAAAAC
rnacentral:pre_miRNA from 1 species